AAUGAAGUGCCUGAAUAAAGGGUUAUCUUGAUAGGAUAAAUUAUGUUUUUAAACCUUCAUUA
rnacentral:tRNA from 1 species